rnacentral:rRNA from 1 species
AUUGAACGCUGGCGGCAGGCCUAACACAUGCAAGUCGAACGCGUGGCGGACGGGUGCGUAAUGUCUGGGAAACUGCCCGAUGGAGGGGGAUAACUACUGGAAACGGUAGCUAAUACCGCAUACCAUCGGAUGUGCCCCGAUGGGCGUAGCUAGUAGGUGGGGUAACUGCUCACCUAGGCGACGAUCCCUCGCUGGUCUGAGAGGAUGACCAGCCACACGGGAACUGAGGCACGGUCCAGACUCCUACGGGAGGCAGCGGUGGGGAAUAUUGCAAAAUGGGCGCAAGCCUGAUGCAGCCAUGCCGCGUGUAUGAAGAAGGCCUUCGGGUUGUAAAGUACUUUCAGCGAGGAGGCGUUACUCGCAGAAGAAGCACCGGCUAACUCCGUGCCAGCAGCCGCGGUAAUAC